GGAGCUGUGUGUGAAAAGCAUCAAGUUGUACUCCACAGGAUGCUGGAAGAUGCUGGGAAUCCCCAGGGCUCUCAGUUACCUGGGCAUUUGUACAGCUUCCUAGCUUGAGCUAUGUCUCCCUGGCUGAGCCGCACACGCUGGCCAAUGGUUGGCCGGAUGCCAUUGUCGUCUCGACGGGGGAGGAUGGUGUCUAAGAAAACUCCUCUACAGAAAGAAAAAAAGGGAGAGAGGAAGAAAAGUCAGGACUGUCUGGCUCUACAAGAGGUUAAGACACUGCAACCUGAAGGUAGAGCUGGAAGGGGAUCUGAGAACACCCAGUCCAACCCUCUUGUGAGGAGUCUUGGCUGAGGAGCC
rnacentral:lncRNA from 1 species